rnacentral:rRNA from 1 species
GACGAACGCUGGCGGCGUGCUUAACACAUGCAAGUCGAACGGAAAGGCCCUGCUUUUGUGGGGUGCUCGAGUGGCGAACGGGUGAGUAACACGUGAGUAACCUGCCCUUGACUUUGGGAUAACUUCAGGAAACUGGGGCUAAUACCGGAUAGGAGCUCCUGCUGCAUGGUGGGGGUUGGAAAGUUUCGGCGGUUGGGGAUGGACUCGCGGCUUAUCAGCUUGUUGGUGGGGUAGUGGCUUACCAAGGCUUUGACGGGUAGCCGACCUGGGAGGGUGACCGGCCACAUUGGGACUGAGAUACGGCCCAGACUCCUACGGGAGGCAGCAGUGGGGAAUAUUGCACAAUGGGCGGAAGCCUGAUGCAGCAGCGCCGCGUGCGGGAUGACGGCCUUCGGGUUGUAAACCGCUUUCGCCUGUGACGAAGCGUGAGUGACGGUAAUGGGUAAAGAAGCACCGGCUAACUACGUG